rnacentral:rRNA from 1 species
CCCUUAGAUGUUCUGGGCCGCACGCGCGCUACACUGACGAAUGCAACGAGCUUAUAACCUUGGCCGAAAGGUCUGGGUAAUCUCCAAAUUUCGUCGUGAUGGGGAUAGAUUAUUGCAAUUAUUAAUCUUCAACGAGGAAUGCCUAGUAAGCGCAAGUCAUCAGCUUGCGUUGAUUACGUCCCUGCCCUUUGUACACACCGCCCGUCGCUCCUACCGAUUGAAUGGUCCGGUGAAGCGCUCGGACCGCGGCCUCUUGACGGUUUUCCGUCGAUUGGCUGUGGGAAGUUCGUUAAACCUUAUCAUUUAGAGGAAGGAAAANUCGUAACA